AUCUGUGGCUGCCCCAGCGGACGUUUGCCGUUGGCGGAUAUGCGGCGUUACCGGGGGUGGUGGACGAUGUUCGCCGGCCGGCAUGGCCGUUUUCAGGAGAACCCUUCGGCUGUGCGCAGUUCCACGCGUAGAGCCCACCAGGGAAGACUGUCCCAACCUUGCAGGUGGGCCAGCGAAGGCAGCCGGGGUUUUCUGGGCUGCGAGGUGGCAAUUAGCCCCACGGCGAGUGUCCUGUGCACAAGCACACGCCCGUGCAUAGGAUGCAGCGAGUGCCAUCGGAUGUGUGCGGGCCGCCAUGGAUGGCUCUGGGAGGGGCUCAAGAUAGGGGUGGUGUUGCCACCCUGGGGGAAGUCGGGGGUGGCCAGAGCCUUGUGGAAUGGGGCUGUCAACCUUUCACCUGGACUUGCAUUUCAUUCCAGGGACUUCAGGGAGGCCUAGUCGUAAAGAAGUGAAGAAAUGGCUGAUUUUCAGUUGGGCGGGGGGCAGCAGAUUCCGUUAGACUUGAACGGUGGCAACUGGCAGCUCGGGGACAGGGGGCUCUGUCCCUCAAACCCACUUUGGAGGGAUAAAAGGAGGGACAGGUGAGGAGUCGAGAAGGGUCACCUCAGAAGAAAGCAGAGGAUAGUGAUAAUUGUUGACGAUGUAAUUCCAGCACCAACUACAUACCCAUUUCGGUGCCCGUGCCUUUCAUAAUUUCUAAACCUGACAGUGCGUCUGUGAGUUGAUAUCUUUAAUAUCUAGGUCCUUUUCCCCGUUCCUAUAGCUGAGGCUCAGAGGAGCUAAAUCAAUCCACACAGACGUACGCAGCGUGUAUGUGCAGAGUCAGUUUUGGAACCCAGGCCGUAAGACUCCAAAGCCCUCUUCCGUCCCGCCGAGGCGACCACCCCCUCUGGGCCCGCACUCGCGAAGCCUGGGGCCCUCCGUCCCGGCCCUCCCCGCUAGUGGCCUGGUCCUUAAGGCUGGUGGGAAAGAAGACGUGGCCCAGUGACCGAUCGCCCGUCCUGCUCAGGAUCCCCAAGGCCGGAGCUGUUCCUUCCGUCCGGGGAGCGCGAGCCCAGCCUUUUCCAAACUCCAUAAUUUCUGGGACAAGAGAAGCCCCGCUCACCGUCCGGCACGGGGCACGCUGCUCUGUCUUGUUUACUGUUCUCUUCCCCCUGGAAGUGAGAGCGAGCCUGGGCUAGCUUGCUGGGGGCUGAGAGACCACGUGGAGCAGGGAGGAGUCAGCAAAGGUGCCCUCGCUGAGGUCGGAGGGAGCCCAGGUAUGUGCUAUUGUGAUGAUAUCUGCUGCCUCCUUUGAGAGGAAGUACGGAUACGUGACCGUCACGCCUACGCGCUUCAGACAGUGUCUAAGAACCAGCCCUUUCCCUUACAUGUCAUGGUGUAACGACCAAUUUAGGACAGCUCACACUGACGUAACACCGUCACCUAAUGCAGUGUCCGUGCUCAAAUAUUGCCAAUUAUCUCUGUAAAGGCCUUUAAAGCAUCCCCCCAAAACAAAGUAUCCAGCUGAGAACUGAGGGUGGCACUCACACGCCAUGUCUCUGUGGGUUUCUUUUAGCCGGGGACGCCUCGGCCCCGCCCGCUGCCGUGCGCAGCUGUGGUGCGCAGUUUGUGGCGCAGCUGCUCCGUAGGGCGUCGCUCCGUGCGGGUUUGUCGGAUUGUUCCCUCGGGCACAUCCAGGUUGUGCACUUUGGGCAGAGAUGCCGGAUCCAUGACAUCCUGUGAGAGCGGGCAGUGUCCUGGCCCUGGAAGCCCGUGACCGCCGGCCCCACACUCCUCUCCUGGUCCCUGUCCUGCCCGAGACCGAGAGGCCUCCUCGAAGCCGCCCGCAGAGAGCUGCGCGCGGGGCGCUCUGGAGCCGAGGCCGGGCUCAGAUUCCAGCUCCGAGUCCUCCUGGAAGUUCAGAUCAACCUUCUAGUCCCCCAUGUGUUACCAUAGCUUGGACCAAAGUUUCAGCUGCCCACCUGGAAAUGGCACCAGAGCAUCUUUGCAAACAUCUAUGCAAGUGCCUGGGGAGGCAGGAUCGAUGGAUGUUGACUGAGUGUCGGGCCUUUCUACAAGUAUUCUCUCAUUUGGCCUCCACAACUUGUGAAUGUAAUCGUUCAUGCCCAUUGUACAAAUGGGGAAACUGGACAUCCCAUUAUACAAUGAAUGUAUAGUCAGAUUUUCUUCAGUUUUUUGUUAUUUCAAAGAAUAAUGUAGCAAACAUCCUUAUUCACACUGUUCAGCCAUUUCUCAUAUUUGUUUUCAGUUUUUUUUCCUCAAAGAAAUAAAGUUUUAUGAAUAAAGCUAAAGGUCA